rnacentral:lncRNA from 1 species
AAAACGAGUCUCCACGGAACAUCCUGACUCUGGAAACAAAGGACUAUUCUGGCUGUCUCUGCCUUGCUGCCCCCUAAUGCAUGCUGUAUCACUGGAGUCCUGUAUGACCAGGAGAACACCUAACUGCAUCCACCUUCAUGACCCCAGUCUGCCCACAUGCUCUCCGACAAAUCCAGAGAUAAUUUUUUGACAGUAUCAAGAAGUACAGAAGCUACAACAAACAAAUCUGUACAGUUGGGAGGAACCAUCAAGCGGGGACCCAGCGGAACCAUUUUGACCCCCCUCCCCCCGUGUGCCAACGGAGCCAAUCCGCGCAGCCCCUGGGACCAUCCGGGACACCAAUUGCACUGCCCUCCUCCUUCCGGCUCACUUCUCACACAGUAAUUCUCAUCGUGGCUCCACAACCACACCACUGAGUAAGUACAUGGAUCAGCUCAAGACAAUCGAGGAAAAGACACUGUCGUUGGAUUGCAGAAAAACAUUAGAUUUACAGGUUUUGAUGCCUUAAAUAUUUUACCUAUGUUACAAAAUAUAGAAAUCUUGCCGUGAAAAGCUCAUGCUAAGAUAGAUAUAACCGAUAAGAUGGAACUAUAGUAAUAAAGUCAUAUUAAAUUAUCCAUCCAGAGCUACUUUAUCCAGGAGGAACAAAUAUUUGUAAAAAGCCAACUUAUUCAUUCUUACUUUUAAAAAUAGUCUUGUUUAUAAAACAAAAAGGAAAGAAAAAUCAAUUAUUCUGCAGACUCACUCUUCAUAAGAACAGAAAUGUGACAGACAUUUCUGAAUGAAGGAAGGAAAACAGGGAAAGUGCUUACUUUUUACAUGGCCCAGAUUCAACCCGUGUUCCCAAAUCAUUUUAUGUAAAACGACCACAUUCUGCAUGUUAUGGGACAUUCACACAUG